rnacentral:rRNA from 1 species
GUUGCGAACGGGUGAGUAACGCGUAGGUAACCUGCCUUGUAGCGGGGGAUAACUAUUGGAAACGAUAGCUAAUACCGCAUAACAAUGGAUGACACAUGUCAUUUAUUUGAAAGGGGCAAUUGCUCCACUACAAGAUGGACCUGCGUUGUAUUAGCUAGUAGGUGAGGUAAUGGCUCACCUAGGCGACGAUACAUAGCCGACCUGAGAGGGUGAUCGGCCACACUGGGACUGAGACACGGCCCAGACUCCUACGGGAGGCAGCAGUAGGGAAUCUUCGGCAAUGGGGGCAACCCUGACCGAGCAACGCCGCGUGAGUGAAGAAGGUUUUCGGAUCGUAAAGCUCUGUUGUAAGUCAAGAACGGGUGUGAGAGUGGAAAGUUCACACUGUGACGGUAGCUUACCAGAAAGGGACGGCUAACUACGUGCCAGCAGCCGCGGUAAUACGUAGGUCCCGAGCGUUGUCCGGAUUUAUUGGGCGUAAAGCGAGCGCAGGCGGUUUGAUAAGUCUGAAGUUAAAGGCUGUGGCUCAACCAUAGUUCGCUUUGGAAACUGUCAAACUUGAGUGCAGAAGGGGAGAGUGGAAUUCCAUGUGUAGCGGUGAAAUGCGUAGAUAUAUGGAGGAACACCGGUGGCGAAAGCGGCUCUCUGGUCUGUAACUGACGCUGAGGCUCGAAAGCGUGGGGAGCGAACAGGAUUAGAUACCCUGGUAGUCCACGCCGUAAACGAUGAGUGCUAGGUGUUGGAUCCUUUCCGGGAUUCAGUGCCGCAGCUAACGCAUUAAGCACUCCGCCUGGGGAGUACGACCGCAAGGUUGAAACUCAAAGGAAUUGACGGGGGCCCGCACAAGCGGUGGAGCAUGUGGUUUAAUUCGAAGCAA